rnacentral:miRNA from 1 species
GACUGCUCAUGGCUGCCUGUUC